GACGAACGCUGGCGGCGUGCUUAACACAUGCAAGUCGAACGGAAAGGCCCUGCUUUUGUGGGGUGCUCGAGUGGCGAACGGGUGAGUAACACGUGAGUAACCUGCCCUUGACUUUGGGAUAACUUCAGGAAACUGGGGCUAAUACCGGAUAGGAGCUCCUGCUGCAUGGUGGGGGUUGGAAAGUUUCGGCGGUUGGGGAUGGACUCGCGGCUUAUCAGCUUGUUGGUGGGGUAGUGGCUUACCAAGGCUUUGACGGGUAGCCGGCCUGGGAGGGUGACCGGCCACAUGGGGACUGAGAUACGGCCCAGACUCCUACGGGAGGCAGCAGUGGGGAAUAUUGCACAAUGGGCGGAAGCCUGAUGCAGCAACGCCGCGUGCGGGAUGACGGCCUUCGGGUUGUAAACCGCUGUCGCCUGUGACGAAGCGUGAGUGACGGUAAUGGGUAAAGAAGCACCGGCUAACUACGUG
rnacentral:rRNA from 1 species